CUGAACCGAAAAUGCAAGACUUGCUUUAAUUCUUUCCUUCAAUUUCUUUCUGUAUUAUUUACUAUAAUGGAACUCAUGUUAUUUACACUGUGCUAGAUCAAUACAUAUAAACACUGACAGAAAACAAUUAAAGCAAGUCUUGCAUUUUCGGUUCAGUUUUGAACCGAGAUUUUCCGAAGUUGACAAGUCUCUCUUUCUCGCUCCGCCCCUCCGUGCUACGUCAUGUAAUGAACACUAUAGUGGAUCGAUACUAUAUGACAAUGAAAGAGAG
rnacentral:lncRNA from 1 species